CUACGUGCCAGCAGCCGCGGUAAUACGUAUGUCACGAGCGUUAUCCGGAUUUAUUGGGCGUAAAGCGCGUCUAGGUGGUUAUGUAAGUCUGAUGUGAAAAUGCAGGGCUCAACUCUGUAUUGCGUUGGAAACUGUAUAACUAGAGUACUGGAGAGGUAAGCGGAACUACAAGUGUAGAGGUGAAAUUCGUAGAUAUUUGUAGGAAUGCCGAUGGGGAAGCCAGCUUACUGGACAGAUACUGACGCUGAAGCGCGAAAGCGUGGGUAGCAAACAGGAUUAGAUACCCUGGUAGUCCACGCUGUAAACGAUGAUUACUAGGUGUUGGGGGUCGAACCUCAGCGCCCAAGCAAACGCGAUAAGUAAUCCGCCUGGGGAGUACGUACGCAAGUAUGAAACUCAAAGGAAUUGACGGGGACCCGCACAAGCGGUGGAGCAUGUGGUUUAAUUCGACGCAACGCGAGGAACCUUACCAGCGUUUGACAUC
rnacentral:rRNA from 1 species